rnacentral:rRNA from 1 species
UACGGAGGGGGCUAGCGUUGUUCGGAAUUACUGGGCGUAAAGCGCGCGUAGGCGGCUUUGUAAGUUAGGGGUGAAAGCCCGGAGCUCAACUCCGGAAUUGCCUUUAAGACUGCAUCGCUAGAAUCAUGGAGAGGUGAGUGGAAUUCCGAGUGUAGAGGUGAAAUUCGUAGAUAUUCGGAAGAACACCAGUGGCGAAGGCGACUCACUGGACAUGUAUUGACGCUGAGGUGCGAAAGCGUGGGGAGCAAACAGG